GAUCCAAGAUACGGGGGAAGUAAAUGCGACUUAAUUUGUCCAGAGCGAAAGGUUAACAUGCCACCGUGACUGAGCAAAGCCAGGAGUGCGAGUGCGGUCACGUGACCCUGAAGUUUUGUAAACACCUGCUGCAGCAAGCUUUUCACGGCCAGGCCCGACACCGCACGUACACCUCCCGCGGUGGGGAACAAAUAAAUCGUGAGCGACAGAUGAUCCAAGCGGGAGCUAAGUGAUUAACACGUUUGAGCUGCUAACGUGCUAAGCAAACGCCCGCACGCACCAGCGGGUUGACAACCCUCGCCAGGGGACGCAACUCCAUGGAGCGGCCUCAGGGAGCCCGGAUUUAGAAGAAAAAAGAAAUCUCUGACGGCGACGUGCCUGAAGAAGAGAUGCCAGACCACGUUGCUGAGAAAAACCGUUUUUUAAAACAAGUGAAAGGCUUGGGGGAAAAAAAGGAUUCCUUAAGUGAAAUAAUUUUGUUUUCAAGACAACCGCCGAAUCUCUAAUUUUUCCCAUGAUGCAAGUGGAAAAGGAACUCCAAAGAAACUCGCUUAGGGAGAUGUCUUCUAGGAAACGAAACUACUAGCUCUUGAUGCAAGCAACUGUUUUGCCAUCAAACCAAAGGGGGACAAGAUGAUGGCGCCAACUAAAGCAUCUCCCUUGCUGAUCAAGCCGAUACCAGAGGACUAGCAAGUGCUGAGCUCAUUGGUCAGAAUAAAACUCACAGCCUGGAGCCUAGCGUGAUAAACUGUACAGUGAGGUAUCAUGCGCUCUCAGGCGAGGAAAUAAGUAUGACGUCACUUCCGGCGAUCGCGAAGGAACUGGUGGUCGCUGUGGUAGUGUUGUUGGCGGUGGUGAUAUCGUCAGGCGACAGCGACGUGUGCAGCCUCCGACCGGUGUUCAACUCCAGGGAGCACUCGGCGACGUUCCUUGCAAAACCCUUCUGGAACAGAGACGACAUUACUUCAGGCGAAGAGGAGACAAUUUUCAUCCGAAAGGGAAACUGUCCAGUGCGCGUGCGCGGACGAGAGAUAGAUGAAGACGAGGCCAAGACUGGUUCUUAUUCUCAGUCGCUGCGCAACGGCAGUGAGAAGGACAGCAGCGAGAAGAAACAUGGCGGCGGGGGUGCGCAGCGGAAGCUGAAGGGGUCUAAACGAAAGAGGAAGCAAGAGAAGAGGAAAAGGUUCCGAAAGAAGAAGAAAAAGUCUUAAACAAGGUGAGCCCCCGUCACGCUAUCGCUGCUCAGUUGCCCAACAGAACGAGUCCCUCGGCCACUGAAUGAGCCACUUCCUCCACACGAGGACCAAAAGACCAGAGAAAGGUCUCACUGGGAGGGUUGUCGUCUUCUACACAACAAUUUCUCGGCUGCCGGACGCACACAGGGAACUGAACGACGAACAAAAUAGCUUCUUUCAUCCUGUGGAGGAGUUGGGGCAACACGAGUUUCGUUGGCGGCGUUGAUGACGACUUCUCUUCAUUCUUGAGGAGAGGAAAGUCUACAAGGUUUUCGAACUCAGCUGACUAGAAAAAU
rnacentral:lncRNA from 1 species